rnacentral:rRNA from 1 species
AAAGUACAACUUUGAGCGGUGGAUCACUCGGCUCGUGCGUCGAUGAAGAGCGCAGCCAGCUGCCUGAAUUAAUGUGAAUUGCAGAACACAUUGAACAUCGACACCUUGAACGCACAUGGCG